UGGGGAAUAUUGGACAAUGGGCGCAAGCCUGAUCCAGCCAUGCCGCGUGAGUGAUGAAGGCCCUAGGGUUGUAAAGCUCUUUCACCGGUGAAGAUAAUGACGGUAACCGGAGAAGAAGCCCCGGCUAACUUCGUGCCAGCAGCCGCGGUAAUACGAAGGGGGCUAGCGUUGUUCGGAUUUACUGGGCGUAAAGCGCACGUAGGCGGACUUUUAAGUCAGGGGUGAAAUCCCGGGGCUCAACCCCGGAACUGCCUUUGAUACUGGAAGUCUUGAGUAGGGUAGAGGUGAGUGGAAUUCCGGGUGUAGAGGUGAAAUUCGUAGAUAUUCGGAGGAACAACAGUGGCGAAGGCGGCUCACUGGACCAUUACUGACGCUGAGGUGCGAAAGCGUGGGGAGCAAACAGG
rnacentral:rRNA from 1 species